rnacentral:rRNA from 1 species
CCCUUAGAUGUUCUGGGCAGCACGCGCGCUACAAUGGUCUUCGCAAACGGAUGCAUUCUCGAAGGAGAAUGCCAAUCUUGGAAUCUAUGCCUUGGUCGGGGCAGUUGCUUGCAAUUUUUCGACUCGAACCAGGAAUUCCUUGUAAUCGUGAUUCAUCACAUCACGAUGAAUGCGUCCCUGCCCUUUGUACACACCGCCCGUCGCUCCUACCGAUCGAAGAGUUAGGUGAAUUGUUUUGAUCGAUAAGAUUUGACUAUGGUCAACUCUCGUUGUGAAAUUCUGUGAAUCUGACUGUUUAGAGGAAGGAAAAGUCGUAACA